GACAGAGGGAUGCAAGCGUUAAUCGGAAUUACUGGGCGUAAAGCGUGCGCAGGCGGUUUUGUAAGCCAGAUGUGAAAUCCCCGGGCUCAACCUGGGAAUGGCAUUUGGGACUGCAAGCUGGAGUGCGGCGAGGAGACUGGAAUCCUGGGUAUCGAGCAGUGAAAUGGCGUAGAGAUGUGGAGGAACACCGAUGGCGAACGGCAGCCCCCUGGGGUCAAGAUUGACGGCC
rnacentral:rRNA from 1 species